AAGGGCGCAGUGGCGGCCCCGUGGGGGUUUGAGCCUAGCGCCUUUAUUCUCACACCCUGACUAAAAGAAGACUGAGCCAGAUUUCCAUGUACUAACACCAAGAAGUGGUCAAGAAGCAUACCGCACUGCUCCUGGAGUCAGAGGAACUUGAUCGCAUUUUCUCCAUGUGCAGCUGUAAGGAAAUCUGGUGUGUCAGAAGGAAGAGGUGAGCGCAGGCCUCUAGCUAUUGAUGCUACCUAAAGCAAGAUCCUGAGGAGGCUAUGGCCCAGAUCACGGGGUCCUGUGUCAGUGCUGUAAUUGGAAUGCCACGUCUGGAUCAUGGCUUUGUCUGGGAAGAAAUGAGAGCUAAUGAGAGAGAGAGAACGAGCAGCGAAAUGGAGUUCAGAAAAACCGCUGAAGAGAUGCCUGGAAGACUUCAUGAAAGCAAGCUUGACCAUUUUGCACCCUUUCUUAAAAAUGCAUGGAGAUGAUCCAAUUAGUUGGAGAGCCGAAUUUUUCUCCCCCCGCACGUGUAAGAAGAUGAACAGUAAGAAAACACUAGUUGGUGACUUUGCAGCUGAAUGUCAAGCAGAUUCCUCGAAAAGAAGGAGAUAAUAUUAUGGAUGAUGGGAGAAAGAGAGAGCAGCAGAGGGAGAAGCAGACUCCCCAC